UUAGAUUCUCGAAAAAAUGCUGGUGCUUGUCAACGAUCUCACUAGAUUACUGAACUAGAGCCUGCCCCCCACUUCGUCUUGCUCCGCCCCUCGGCAUCAAUGGCUUCCUACCCACUGAUCACCGUCCUCGGCGCCGUCGCCGUGCUGACUCUGGCCCGGGCGCCGGCGACGCAGUCCCUCCCUUUCGUGGUCUUCCACGGUGAGUUCGCGCCGUCCCAUUUGAUGCGUUCCGAACGUGUUCGUUAAUGCCCGUUUGACCAUUGUUUUUCCUGGUUGUGAAACCGUUGUGUUCUGUUAUUAGGCAAGUGGGGGUCGUUGCAAUGCCUAUCUUGUGUUUGCUGAUUUAUUUGCUUCAGUGGUACUUGUGGUCAAGUAUAAGUCGUUGGGUUUUAUCACGUGCCGUAGGAUUUGGACUCUGUUUUCUGUUUGGUUUUUCGAGCUUAUUUGACUUCUUGGGCAGCGUUGUUGGUGAUCCAUCGAGAAUUUGAGCUCGGUGGAGCGCAGCAUGUUGUUCCUAUUCUUUUUUUGAAAUGUGUUUUGACCACUCGGUAAUAAAAUCUGCCACUAGGAAGGGGGAAAAGUAAAGUCCCAUGAUGAAUUAUACUUCCAUGCACUGGCAACGAAUCACUUUGUGGCUUAAUUUAAUUAUGCUUUCGUUAGUUUUCAUCUCCUAAUCUAUCUAGUUUUUGAACAGUAGUUCCUUUUCUAUCCUUACUGUUUGCACUGGCGUAUUAAGUGCCUCUUUCAUUAGAAGAACAGGUACGUGGAUUUGAAGCUGUGAUUGUCUUGUUCUUCUAAAAAAAAUUGGGCAGUGUGAGGUUGUCCUCAAUCCAUUUGCAUCUGACUUGCGUCUUUCCAAGAAACUUUUCGAUUAUGAUCUGUCAAGUCGCAUGCUAUGAAAACAUUUUUGGCCCUUUACUUUACAACUUAAACUUUUGGGACAAACAAUUUGUCUAACAUGAUAUUAGAAUUAAGCCCAAGGCUUCAAGUUCUGACAAUCACUCGCAAUUUUCUCCAGCUUGUGAACCUGUUAUUCUAUCCAUUUUCAUGUUUCAUGGUUAUUUAAUUAAUUUGCUUCCGUCCACAACCAUUCUUGUGCGUGUUAAGACCAUCAUACGCUCAAGGGGGAGUUUUUAGUCAUAUGCUACAAAUACAUUGUUGGCCUGUUUCCUUACCACUUAAGCUUUUACAAUAAACGGUUUGUCUAACGUGAUUAAAGACAACUACUUAAAUUACAAGCUAAAGAUGCACACCAGGGAUUGAGUAACGCCAAAAAUCAUUUUUGACCUUGUCUAAUUCUUGGAUGAUCAAUUCUUUAGAAAUGCGUG
rnacentral:lncRNA from 1 species